CUUCCGAAGGGGAACCGACUUCCAUCCGUUGCUUUACCGAAGUUCGUCUUUUCGAACUUUUUUUCGUUUUUGCACAAUCGCGUUUUUUCGGGAUUUUCUAAUUAAAAAAAAAAAAUAAAUACAACAGGGAAAUAGAUUUAUUUGUGUACAGUGACUUGUGUUGUGUCUUUUGUCAUUCCAGUUAAAAAGAAGAUUUGAAAACAAGGAUUAUUCUCACAUUGAUAAAUGGAUUACCAACGCAGAGGGUUCAACAGAUGUUCUCCCUUCUAAUUUGAUGCUUAAGGAUGGACACGAUGUCCAGACCUGACGAGAGGGCAGCUGGUGUCAUUACGGGCACGGACCCUUACAGAGAGUUAGAGCUCUACUUGGAAAAAGUCAAUGUAAGUCUUUCUUAUCUCAAAAAUAAUCAAACUGAUAAGUCUUGGAUUUCGAAUAGUUCGGCGAUGAUUUGCGCCCCGGGAUCGAAGCUUCCUUCUUAGGCGUCCAUAUUUUAAAAGCUUUAUCUUAUAAUCUCGAAUACAAUGAAAGCAAAGCUUAUCUUAUUGGAAGGUGUUCGAUCAAUGGCCACCAUCUCGACCCGGGCCACCAACGUCUCAUGACUGAUCGGCCCUAAUUCCUUUCCGGGUGUGUCGCCCCUCAUCGUCGAGCCCCCUGGUUAAAAUUCAACCCGGGAGUCCCUAGGGAAAAAAACUGUUGAAUAAGGAGAUGAAAGACGACCACUUCCUCCAGGGAUGGCAUUCAAAAGCACACGAUCCUCGGCCGACAAUAUAUCUCGUUAAUAAGGCAGGGUGUCUCAUUUGACGAAUUUCCUCAUUAAAACUUAUUGUACUGCGAGUAGGGACACUCUUUACAUAAACAUAGAAGGACUUAAAAGGAACUUUUUUAUUCAAUUCUAAUUGCACAAAACUAUUCAACUAGACAAGAAACUCUUUUAAAAAAAACCUCAUACUAACGCAGUUAGUUAUAUCCAUACUGUCGAUAUGUAAAUUAUCAAUUAAAAAAUAAGCAGCGCUUGAAUGUGGAAACUUUACUUUAGGCACAUUUACUUUUCUUUUUUUACCACACAGAUGAGGGCAUGUUUGCAUUUUGGAUAUGGUAUGGUAUGGUGAAAAAGGAUAUUAGGCAGCGAGGUUGACACUGCAGCCUUCGGGCUUAUUGUACCUUCCUAGUUCCUUAGUUCAGUGCAAUAGACUCAAUUCUUCUUCUUAGAAAUAUCAGGUCAUUCACUGUCGCUGGUGCAAUUUGAUUCCCUAAGUUUUUUCCGUACGUUAGGUUAAACCUACAUUGAGCUGUUGUUUCGCAUUCGAUGAUGAUAUGAGUGACUGUUUCCUCCUCCUCAUUACAUAAUCUGCAAGUGGGAUCAUUGCUAUAUAUACCCAUGUGUAGAUGUUUUCUCAGAUGCCAG